rnacentral:rRNA from 1 species
GACAGAGGGGGCAAACGUUGUUCGGAAUUACUGGGCGUAAAGCGAGUGUAGGCGGGCUUGUAAGUCGGAUGGGAAAGCCCUGGGCUCAACCCAGGAAGUGCACUCGAUACUGCGAGGCUAGAGUAUCGGAGAGGUUGGUGGAAUUCUCGGUGUAGAGGUGAAAUUCGUAGAUAUCGAGAGGAACACCGGUGGCGAAGGCGGCCAACUGGACGAAUACUGACGCUGAGACUCGAAAGCGUGGGGAGCAAACAGG